rnacentral:rRNA from 1 species
AUUGAACGCUGGCGGCAGGCCUAACACAUGCAAGUCGAGCGAGCGGCGGACGGGUGAGUAAUGUAUGGGGACUGCCCGAUAGAGGGGGAUAACUACUGGAAAAGGUAGCUAAUACCGCAUACUAUCGGAUAACCCAUAUGGGAUUAGCUAGUAGGUGAGGUAAUGGCGCACCUAGGCGACGAGCCCUAGCUGGUCUCAGAGGAUGAUAAGCCACAGUGUGACGUAUACACGGUCCAGACUCCUGCGGAUGCAGCAGUGGGUAAUAUUGCACAAUGGGCGCAAGCCUGAUGCAGCCAUGCCGCGUGUAUGAAGAAGGACCUAGGGUUGUAAAGUACGUUCAGGCGGGAGGCGUUACCGACAGAAGAAGCACCGGCUAACUCCGUGCCAGCAGCCGCGGUAAUUC